AACCCCUGGCAAUGGGCAAAGAGACACCUUGUUGUGGUGGUGUUCUUCUGUCAGUCAGAAGCAGAGCAGAUGGCAGUCCUUUGUUCACCUGAGCUUGAUGCCUGGCUUGGUGGCCAAAGCUGUUUCAUGCCUAAGGCACAUUU